rnacentral:rRNA from 1 species
UUAAGCGACUAAGCGUACACGGUGGAUGCCCUGGCAGUCAGAGGCGAUGAAGGACGUGCUAAUCUGCGAUAAGCGUCGGUAAGGUGAUAUGAACCGUUAUAACCGGCGAUUUCCGAAUGGGGAAACCCAGUGUGAUUCGUCACACUAUCAUUAACUGAAUCCAUAGGUUAAUGAGGCGAACCGGGGGAACUGAAACAUCUAAGUACCCCGAGGAAAAGAAAUCAACCGAGAUUCCCCCAGUAGCGGCGAGCGAACGGGGAGCAGCCCAGAGCCUGAAUCAGUGUGUGUGUUAGUGGAAGCGUCUGGAAAGGCGCGCGAUACAGGGUGACAGCCCCGUACACAAAAAUGCACAUGCUGUGAGCUCGAUGAGUAGGGCGGGACACGUGGUAUCCUGUCUGAAUAUGGGGGGACCAUCCUCCAAGGCUAAAUACUCCUGACUGACCGAUAGUGAACCAGUACCGUGAGGGAAAGGCGAAAAGAACCCCGGCGAGGGGAGUGAAAAAGAACCUGAAACCGUGUACGUACAAGCAGUGGGAGCACGCUUAGGCGUGUGACUGCGUACCUUUUGUAUAAUGGGUCAGCGACUUAUAUUCUGUAGCAAGGUUAACCGAAUAGGGGAGCCGAAGGGAAACCGAGUCUUAACUGGGCGUUAAGUUGCAGGGUAUAGACCCGAAACCCGGUGAUCUAGCCAUGGGCAGGUUGAAGGUUGGGUAACACUAACUGGAGGACCGAACCGACUAAUGUUGAAAAAUUAGCGGAUGACUUGUGGCUGGGGGUGAAAGGCCAAUCAAACCGGGAGAUAGCUGGUUCUCCCCGAAAGCUAUUUAGGUAGCGCCUCGUGAAUUCAUCUCCGGGGGUAGAGCACUGUUUCGGCAAGGGGGUCAUCCCGACUUACCAACCCGAUGCAAACUGCGAAUACCGGAGAAUGUUAUCACGGGAGACACACGGCGGGUGCUAACGUCCGUCGUGAAGAGGGAAACAACCCAGACCGCCAGCUAAGGUCCCAAAGUCAUGGUUAAGUGGGAAACGAUGUGGGAAGGCCCAGACAGCCAGGAUGUUGGCUUAGAAGCAGCCAUCAUUUAAAGAAAGCGUAAUAGCUCACUGGUCGAGUCGGCCUGCGCGGAAGAUGUAACGGGGCUAAACCAUGCACCGAAGCUGCGGCAGCGACGCUGAUGCGUUGUUGGGUAGGGGAGCGUUCUGUAAGCCUGCGAAGGUGUGCUGUGAGGCAUGCUGGAGGUAUCAGAAGUGCGAAUGCUGACAUAAGUAACGAUAAAGCGGGUGAAAAGCCCGCUCGCCGGAAGACCAAGGGUUCCUGUCCAACGUUAAUCGGGGCAGGGUGAGUCGACCCCUAAGGCGAGGCCGAAAGGCGUAGUCGAUGGGAAACAGGUUAAUAUUCCUGUACUUGGUGUUACUGCGAAGGGGGGACGGAGAAGGCUAUGUUGGCCGGGCGACGGUUGUCCCGGUUUAAGCGUGUAGGCUGGUUUUCCAGGCAAAUCCGGAAAAUCAAGGCUGAGGCGUGAUGACGAGGCACUACGGUGCUGAAGCAACAAAUGCCCUGCUUCCAGGAAAAGCCUCUAAGCAUCAGGUAACAUCAAAUCGUACCCCAAACCGACACAGGUGGUCAGGUAGAGAAUACCAAGGCGCUUGAGAGAACUCGGGUGAAGGAACUAGGCAAAAUGGUGCCGUAACUUCGGGAGAAGGCACGCUGAUAUGUAGGUGAAGUCCCUCGCGGAUGGAGCUGAAAUCAGUCGAAGAUACCAGCUGGCUGCAACUGUUUAUUAAAAACACAGCACUGUGCAAACACGAAAGUGGACGUAUACGGUGUGACGCCUGCCCGGUGCCGGAAGGUUAAUUGAUGGGGUCAGCGCAAGCGAAGCUCUUGAUCGAAGCCCCGGUAAACGGCGGCCGUAACUAUAACGGUCCUAAGGUAGCGAAAUUCCUUGUCGGGUAAGUUCCGACCUGCACGAAUGGCGUAAUGAUGGCCAGGCUGUCUCCACCCGAGACUCAGUGAAAUUGAACUCGCUGUGAAGAUGCAGUGUACCCGCGGCAAGACGGAAAGACCCCGUGAACCUUUACUAUAGCUUGACACUGAACAUUGAGCCUUGAUGUGUAGGAUAGGUGGGAGGCUUUGAAGUGUGGACGCCAGUCUGCAUGGAGCCGGCCUUGAAAUACCACCCUUUAAUGUUUGAUGUUCUAACGUUGACCCGUAAUCCGGGUUGCGGACAGUGUCUGGUGGGUAGUUUGACUGGGGCGGUCUCCUCCUAAAGAGUAACGGAGGAGCACGAAGGUUGGCUAAUCCUGGUCGGACAUCAGGAGGUUAGUGCAAUGGCAUAAGCCAGCUUGACUGCGAGCGUGACGGCGCGAGCAGGUGCGAAAGCAGGUCAUAGUGAUCCGGUGGUUCUGAAUGGAAGGGCCAUCGCUCAACGGAUAAAAGGUACUCCGGGGAUAACAGGCUGAUACCGCCCAAGAGUUCAUAUCGACGGCGGUGUUUGGCACCUCGAUGUCGGCUCAUCACAUCCUGGGGCUGAAGUAGGUCCCAAGGGUAUGGCUGUUCGCCAUUUAAAGUGGUACGCGAGCUGGGUUUAGAACGUCGUGAGACAGUUCGGUCCCUAUCUGCCGUGGGCGCUGGAGAACUGAGGGGGGCUGCUCCUAGUACGAGAGGACCGGAGUGGACGCAUCACUGGUGUUCGGGUUGUCAUGCCAAUGGCACUGCCCGGUAGCUAAAUGCGGAAGAGAUAAGUGCUGAAAGCAUCUAAGCACGAAACUUGCCCCGAGAUGAGUUCUCCCUGACUCCUUGAGAGUCCUGAAGGAACGUUGAAGACGACGACGUUGAUAGGCCGGGUGUGUAAGCGCAGCGAUGCGUUGAGCUAACCGGUACUAAUGAACCGUGAGGCUUAACCUU